ACUCCUACGGGAGGCAGCAGUGGGGAAUAUUGCACAAUGGGCGCAAGCCUGAUGCAGCGACGCCGCGUGGGGGGUGAAGGCCUUCGGGUUGUAAACCUCUUUCAGUAGGGAAGAAGCGAAAGUGACGGUACCUGCAGAAGAAGCGCCGGCUAACUACGUGCCAGCAGCCGCGGUAAUACGUAGGGCGCAAGCGUUAUCCGGAAUUAUUGGGCGUAAAGAGCUCGUAGGCGGUUUGUCGCGUCUGCCGUGAAAGUCCGGGGCUUAACCCCGGAUCUGCGGUGGGUACGGGCAGACUAGAGUGAUGUAGGGGAGACUGGAAUUCCUGGUGUAGCGGUGAAAUGCGCAGAUAUCAGGAGGAACACCGAUGGCGAAGGCAGGUCUCUGGGCAUUAACUGACGCUGAGGAGCGAAAGCAUGGGGAGCGAACAGGAUUAGAUACCCUGGUAGUCCAUGCCGUAAACGUUGGGCACUAGGUGUGGGGGACAUUCCACGUUUUCCGCGCCGUAGCUAACGCAUUAAGUGCCCCGCCUGGGGAGUACGGCCGCAAGGCUAAAACUCAAAGGAAUUGACGGGGGCCCGCACAAGCGGCGGAGCAUGCGGAUUAAUUCGAUGCAACGCGAAGAACCUUACCAAAGGCUUGACAUGAACUGGAACAGCGCAGAGAUGUGUUGGCCGCUUGCGGCCGGUUUACAGGUGGUGCAUGGUUGUCGUCAGCUCGUGUCGUGAGAUGUUGGGUUAAGUCCCGCAACGAGCGCAACCCUCGUUCUAUGUUGCCAGCGCGUUAUGGCGGGGACUCAUAGGAGACUGCCGGGGUCAACUCGGAGGAAGGUGGGGACGACGUCAAAUCAUCAUGCCCCUUAUGUCUUGGGCUUCACGCAUGCUACAAUGGCCGGUACAAAGGGUUGCGAUACUGUGAGGUGGAGCUAAUCCCAAAAAGCCGGUCUCAGUUCGGAUUGAGGUCUGCAACUCGACCUCAUGAAGUCGGAGUCGCUAGUAAUCGCAGAUCAGCAACGCUGCGGUGAAUACGUUCCCGGGCCUUGUACACACCGCCCGU
rnacentral:rRNA from 1 species